rnacentral:rRNA from 1 species
GACGAACGCUGGCGGCGUGCUUAACACAUGCAAGUCGAGCGGUAAGGCCCUUUCGGGGUACACGAGCGGCGAACGGGUGAGUAACACGUGGGUGACCUGCCCUCAGCUCUGGGAUAAGCCUGGGAAACUGGGUCUAAUACUGGAUAUGACUCCACGGUGCAUGUCGUGGGUGAAAGCCUUGUGCGGCUGAGGACUGGGCCCGCGGCCUAUCAGCUUGUUGGUGGGGUGAUGGCCUACCAAGGCGACGACGGGUAGCCGGCCUGAGAGGGCGACCGGCCACACUGGGACUGAGACACGGCCCAGACUCCUACGGGA